rnacentral:misc_RNA from 1 species
GCCAGUUUUAACACUAAGUUAAAAGAAAAAAAUAAUAACAAAUAAGGGCUAAUGUUACACCUGAAAAAUUAAAGAAAUACACUUUGAAAUUAUUUUAUGUUAAACUCAUGGCCUUUGUUCUUAUGAACGGGCUGAUAAAUCAAAUAAAAAUUUAAAAGAAAACCGACUAAACAAUUAGGGCUUUAAAACAUCAGAAAGCCCAUGAGAAUAGGUAAAAUAAAAAUGACAAAAUAAGGAAUUUGGCCAGUUAACCGAGCCCCAGGUGUGCCUCCCCCUAUCUUUCCUUCUUAUGGUGUGAACACCUGAUUAUCACACUUCGUAAUGGUGAGUGUAGGACAUGUCAUCCAAUGAGUCCGGUUAAGGACACAACAUUUGCAAUUCUAGAAAUCAGUGCUACGCAAAUCCCAUAUCACUGCCUUGGCAAAAACAGGGUGACACACCGAUUAUUUGAAACCCCACACCCAAGACUAGUAUCAAAUGACAAUGAGUGAUUUAAGAUGGUCACUAUACAGCAGUACAGCUAAAGUCAGAUUACCAAAGAACACAUUUUAGCACAACACACAUGUAGAAUAAAAGAAUUAUCCUUUUAAAAUAUUAUGUAAUGGAGCAUUUAUUUUUUUACUAUUUUGGCACCCGUUUAUCACUUUUGCGGUCUAAAAUUUCUUUGCACUUUAUCAAGCGUUUAAUAUUGAACAGGCAAGCUUUGAGGGGAUCUAGACCAACAUAUUUACAGUUUGGAUUUUCCAAAACUGUUAUUUUGUGGAUCUCCAAUUUAACUUAAUGACACAUCUAAAUUCAUAGAAACUUAUGAUCUUUAUUCUUUGCUAUUCACUGAAUAAGGGAAUCAAUUGUAUGUGUAAUGCGAGUAUUCUUAAACUACAAAAUUGCUAAACAUAUGAUAAUUUUCACAACUGCAUAUAAUAGAAAAUCUCCUCUACCGCAAGCAUGUUAUUACAAACAAUAGAUACACGCUACAUGAAAUGUUCUUGUUAAAAAAUCCAAAUUCACAUAAAAGUCUACAUGCAUUUAGUCACAUAAAUCAACAAAUGAACUCAACAAACUUUCAUAAAAUACCUUACUUAGCAGGCAUGACAGUAUAAAAGUCAAGAAUGGAUUUUAGAAAGAAGCAAUCAAUGAGACCAAAUGAGAAAUCAUCUUAAGAAACCUGACUAAUUAUUAGAUCACGGACAGAUACAAAAGGAACACACAAAGAAAUUUAAGUAAAAAAUGUAAACUUUGCUGAACUAGUUUGGUAUAAUAUAACAAAAUAACACAAUAAAAUAUAAGCCUUUACUAAAGAUCAGUCACAGUAGUAGUCCUAGGCAAAUGGAAAGAUAAUUAUUAGGAUCAAUGACACCUUCACACCAAUGAUUAUGAAAGAAGGCAGCUUUCUCAAGGUGUUACACACACAUUAAAAUAAAGAAAACGGCAGUUUUGAAGACAUAAAGUUAAUUUCCAACCUUUUUGGAACUUGUUUCUUUGAAGCAACUUUGCCUGGUUAACCUGGUAUUUGGUUAUUAUGGUGAUAAUGCUACUACAAGACCAAUCGAUGCUCCACUGACCUUGGUCUUGGAUAGAGAAUUUGCAUGCUACAUUGCUAAAUUUCUCCUCUUCCAGUUCAUAAAUCAUCUAACACGUAACACCAAUCUCUUCAAGCGCAUACCUUGCGCAUUCUCAAUUAAAAAGUUGAGCUGUUGUUUCAUCUUUCUGGCGGCAAUCGCCCAUGAUGCUUUGGUGAAAGUAGCAAAACCCAUCCGCAAGCAUAAGACCAUUAUCCACCCUCAUCGACUCUCCUAAAGAACUUCUAUAAUCUACAGUUAAUCACUCUCAUACUUUUUGCCUUAUAGUUUAAAGAAUUUGAGGAAAAAGAUGUAAGAAUCCAAGGGUCAAUCAACACCAGAUAAAGGCUUGUCCAUGCUAAGAUGAUGAUCUAAAUAUAUCAAGUCAAACUCACCAACUCAUAUGCACAUAUCAUUAUAAAUUGAAUCAUAAAAGCACAGCUAGAUAUGCAACAAAAAGCAGGGCAAAAUAAAAGAAUGGAGACAAAACACUGCUACAAGAAAUAACAUAUUGUCAAUAUCAUAGGGAAAAGGCUGGCUUACCAGACUGUUAUAGUAACUUGCAG